rnacentral:lncRNA from 1 species
UUUAACCGUGUUGUUUCCUCUAAACCAUAAACCUUUUCUUAAACCUUAACAAACCUUAUUAUUAUUUCCUAUUUUCGCUCAUAUUUAUGUUAUUCAUACACUGUAACUGCUUCGCCCUUGUAAUAUUUUAAGUUUUAACUUGUAAUAUUUUCAGUUUUACUUUUCGCCAUCUUUAUUAUGUAACUGCACCAAAGCGUUGUAAUAAUUAGGGUUUUAUUUUCUGCCAUUUAUUUUCUGCCAUUUUAUUUUUCUGCCAUUUAAAUUCCUGCCAUUGAUCCUAUAUUAACUGCGUGGUUUAGUAAUGUAGGGCGUGAAAACCUACUAAAUUAAUUAUUUAAUAUUUUUCUAUAACCUUUAUAUUUUU